rnacentral:misc_RNA from 1 species
GCCGGCACCUUUUCUUUAUCCUCUUUUACAAACCACAAUAUCCUCGAUCCUUUAAUUUACAGUAUCUUUACUCUUCCCUAGUGUUGCAAUGUGACAAAAUGUACAGUGAGAUUUAAGUCUCGUACGUGGGAAUUAAGGUUCCGGAUGUUCCUUAAUAACCUCAGUCAAAGAUGGAGAAGAUGCACUGCUAAUUCUGCUAGGCACAGGUGUAUUUCUUCUCGAUUGGCGUUUUGUAGGGACGAGAACACUCUCUGUCACCAAUUUUUCACUUAUGUCUUCAUCCUCUUCGUCAUCAUCA